GUACUCUCAUGGUAGGCAAGAUAUGAAUCUUCCUUGAAGUGGCACAUAGAAUGAAUGGGGGGUAACUGGCCCAUGGAGAACACUCGAUAAAGCUCGGGGAUGAACACGAUCUCGGCAAUCAUGGAGUCAGAACGUGCUGCCAUUAGCUCAGGAAUGACUGAGAUCACUGGAAGGGCCUUGAUCUCAGGGUCUCAGGAGUCGGAGACUCUGAUCCAGCUCAGGGCUCAGGGGUCGGAGGACUCAGUCCCAGCUCAGGGUCUCCAGGGGUUGGGGGAUUCAGUCCCAGCUCACGGUCUCCAGGGGAGUGGAGGGACUCAGUCCCAGCUCCUGCGGUCUCCAGGGGUAGGGGACUCAGUCCCAGCUCACGGUCUCAGGGUGGGGGACUCGGUCAGCUCAGGGCUCAGGGGUCGGGGGACUCAGUCCCAGCUCCGCGGUCUCCAGGGGUCGGGGGACUCAGUCCCAGCUCAGGGGCUCCAGGGGUCGGGGACUCAGUCCCAGCUCAGGGGCUCCAGGGUCGGGGAUCGCAGUCCCAGCUCAGGGGCUCCAGGGUGGGGGACUCAGUCCCAGCUCAGGGUCUCCAGGGGUCGGAGGACUCAGUCCCAGCUCAGGGGCUCCAGGGGUCGGGGGACUCAGUCCCAGCUCACGGUCUCCAAGGGUCGGGGGACUCAGUCCCAGCUCAGGGGCUCCAGGGGUCGGGGGACUCAGUCAGCUCAGGGGCUCGGGGGAGGUCGGGAACUCGGUCCCGGCUCACGGUCUCGGGGUUGGGACUCAGUCCCAGCUCAGAAGCAGGGGGCUCAGGGGUCGGGGACUCGGUCCCAGCUCAGGAGUCUCCAGGGUUGGGGAUCUGGUCCCAGCUCAGAAUCAGAAUUCGGAGGACUCAGUCCCAGCUCAGGGGCUCCAGGGGUCGGGGGACUCAGUCCCAGCUCAGGGUCUCCAGGGGUCGGGGGAUGCGGUCCCAGCUCAGGGGCUCCAGGUGUGGGAGCAGCCCAAAACCCCUCUCAGGCUGGGAUGAGGGGCCGGGCUAUGGGGCUUCAGGGGUCCUGCUCUCCCUCUGUGACUCUGUUCCUCUUCUCGGACUCCCACCUUCCACUGCUGCCUCUCUGCUCUGUCCUGUUCUCUCAUUUUUGUAGCUCAAAAAUGCCCCACCCUCUCCAGGUCCCUUCUGACUUCUAA
rnacentral:lncRNA from 1 species